GACGAACGCUGGCGCGUGCUAAUACAUGCAAGUUGAGCGAUGAAGAUUGGUGCUUGCACCAAUUUUGAAGAGCAGCGAACGGUGAGUAACGCGUGGGGAAUCUGCCUUUGAGCGGGGGACAACAUUUGGAAACGAUGCUAAUACCGCAUAAUAACUUUAAACAUAAGUUUUAAGUUUGAAAGAUGCAAUUGCAUCACUCAAAGAUGAUCCCGCGUUGUAUUAGCUAGUUGGUGAGGUAAAGGCUCACCAAGGCGAUGAUACAUAGCCGACCUGAGAGGGUGAUCGGCCACAUUGGGACUGAGACACGGCCCAAACUCCUACGGGAGGCAGCAGUAGGGAAUCUUCGGCAAUGGACGAAAGUCUGACCGAGCAACGCCGCGUGAGUGAAGAAGGUUUUCGGAUCGUAAAACUCUGUUGGUAGAGAAGAACGUUGGUGAGAGUGGAAAGCUCAUCAAGUGACGGUAACUACCCAGAAAGGGACGGCUAACUACGUGCCAGCAGCCGCGGUAAUACGUAGGUCCCGAGCGUUGUCCGGAUUUAUUGGGCGUAAAGCGAGCGCAGGUGGUUUAUUAAGUCUGGUGUAAAAGGCAGUGGCUCAAACCAUUGUAUGCAUUGGAAACUGGUAGACUUGAGUGCAGGAGAGGAGAGUGGAAAUUCCAUGGUGUAGCGGUGAAAUGCGUAGAUAUAUGGAGGAACACCGGUGGCGAAAGCGGCUCUCUGGCCUGUAACUGACACUGAGGCUCGAAAGCGUGGGGGAGCAAACAGG
rnacentral:rRNA from 1 species